AGGGAAUCUUCCACAAUGGACGCAAGUCUGAUGGAGCAACGCCGCGUGAGUGAAGAAGGCUUUCGGGUCGUAAAACUCUGUUAUUGAAGAAGAACGUGUGUGACAGUAACUGGUCAUGCAGUGACGGUAUUCAAUCAGAAAGUCACGGCUAACUACGUGCCAGCAGCCGCGGUAAUACGUAGGUGGCAAGCGUUGUCCGGAUUUAUUGGGCGUAAAGCGAGUGCAGGCGGUCUUUUAAGUCUGAUGUGAAAGCCUUCGGCUUAACCGAAGAAGGGCAUCGGAAACUGGAGACUUGAGUGCAGAAGAGGAGAGUGGAACUCCAUGUGUAGCGGUGAAAUGCGUAGAUAUAUGGAAGAACACCAGUGGCGAAGGCGGCUCUCUGGUCUGUAACUGACGCUGAGGCUCGAAAGCGUGGGGUAGCAAACAGGAUUAGAUAC
rnacentral:rRNA from 1 species